rnacentral:rRNA from 1 species
AUUAUAUUAUUUAUUUAUUAUAUAAUAUUAUUCUAUGUACUUAUUUAUAGAAAUAACUUUUUUUUAAGUAAUUUUUAUUGAAAUAAUUAUUUUAAAUUAUAGUUUAUUUUACUGUAGAGGGUUAUUUAUUGAUUAUUUUAAAAGUAAAUUUAUUAUAUUGUACCUUUUGUAUCAGGGUUUAUUAAAAUAAUUAUUUUAAUAAAUAAGUUCCCGAAUUUAUAAGAGUUAUUAGUUAAAUUGUUAUUCAAUGUUUCAUAAUUGUUAAUAAAUUUCUAAUAGAUGUGAUAUGCUAUUCAUUUAUAAUAUAUCUGGUUUUUUAAUAAUUGAAUUUAAUUCAGAAUUAAUAAAUUUAAUAUAUACUUAUAUUUUUAUUAAAUUAUUAAUUUAAGAUCAAGGGGGAUAAGCUCUUUGAUUAUUUUAUAACUUUAAUUUUAUUUAAAGGUUAAUUUGUAGGAUUAAUAAUUUCCAUCAUUUAUUUUUUUAUAAUUAAUUAUUAUAUGGUUUUUAUUUUGUGGAAAGUUUAAAUUUUUAUUAAAAUGUAUUUUUUAAUAUUUAAAAAUUAGUAAUAAUGGUAGAAUUAGUAUAUUUUGUUAAUUAAUGUAUAGUAACUCGGCAAUUUAUUUUUCCACCUGUUUAGCAAAAACAUGUCUUAAUGUUAUAUUUAUUAAGUCUGGCCUGCUCAAUGAUUAUAAAUUAAAUAGCCGCGGUAUUUUGACUGUGCAAAGGUAGCAUAAUCAUUUGUCUUUUAAUUGAAGGCUUGAAUGAAUGGUUUGAUGAGAAAAUGACUUUCUUUACAUUAUGGAUUGAAUUUAAUGUUUUAGUUAAAAAGCUAAAAUAUAAAAGUGGGACGAGAAGACCCUAUAGAAUUUUAUUUCUUAUUGAUUAUUAAUUUUUUGGUUAAUAUAUUAUUCUUAUUUAAUAGGGAAUUUUGUUGGGGUGACAGUGGGAUUUUUAUAACUCCUAUAAUCAAAUAUUUACAUAUCAGUAUUUUAAAGAUCCUUUUUUUUGAUAAUUAGAUUAAAUUACCUUAGGGAUAACAGCGUAAUUUCUUUGGAGAGUUCUUAUCAAUAAAGGAGUUUGCGACCUCGAUGUUGGAUUAAAUUUAGUUUUAAGUGCAGAAGCUUAAUUUCUAGGUCUGUUCGACCUUUAAAUAUUUACAUGAUCUGAGUUCAGACCGGCGUGAGCCAGGUCGGUUUCUAUCUUCUUAUCUUAUUUAUACGAAUUAGUACGAAAGGACCCUUCGUGUCAAAUUAUUUGUUUAUAUUUGAAUAUUUUUAAC